GUGACACUCUAAUCCACAGAGAGAAGAGCAUGUGAGGCAGCUUCCAUACCUUCCCAUUAGAAGUGCUUCUUACAGACCCUUCCUGAUGGUGGGAAAAAGCAGAAGCUGUCUGUCAACGUUACCUAAACUGCUGUCGCUUACUCUGUAUACUGCUUCUGAGUGCUGACUCUUCCUACUCUGCAGCAUCCCUGGUCCAGGAAGAAGAUGAAUUCAACAAGGAUUCAGCUGCCUGAGUGUCAACCUUCAGAUGGACUUCAGGCAUCUUUGUGAAUUAGGACUGUGCCCUAAGUGGCAGGAUGAGAACAGUAAAGGCUAGAGUGAUCACACUAGCAUCAAUAUUCAGUCUGUCUUGUGCUGUGGAAAGCUUAGUAUAGCUUUUUCCCACUAACAAAACGAGCAAGAUAUUGCAACGUUGGACCGUUUCCUGGUGUUCUGAAUGAUAGACAUAGAAACAGCAUUCCACAUUCAUGAAUGAGAGGUUUUUUGAAGGACUGGAUUUCUUGGAUUUUGAAAACAGAAAUAUAAGAAUAUACAAUUCAACAGAAGAAAUCUGAAUUUCUGAGCUGUAGUACCAUAUAUAUACAGUUCAUAGAAGGAUGCAGAUUGUUAAAACUUCAAACCCAUUAGACAAACCUAUCUUGGAAUACGUUCCAAGAACUCAGUAGGGCUUCCUGGUUUUUUAUUUAAAUCACGAUUUAAGUAAA